GCUUGCUCUUAUGAAGUUAGCGGCGGACGGGUGAGUAACACGUGGGUAACCUGCCCAUAAGACUGGGAUAACUCCGGGAAACCGGGGCUAAUACCGGAUAACAUUUUGCACCUCAUGGUGCGAAAUUGAAAGGCGGCUUCGGCUGUCACUUAUGGAUGGACCCGCGUCGCAUUAGCUAGUUGGUGAGGUAACGGCUCACCAAGGCGACGAUGCGUAGCCGACCUGAGAGGGUGAUCGGCCACACUGGGACUGAGACACGGCCCAGACUCCUACGGGAGGCAGCAGUAGGGAAUCUUCCGCAAUGGACGAAAGUCUGACGGAGCAACGCCGCGUGAGUGAUGAAGGCUUUCGGGUCGUAAAACUCUGUUGUUAGGGAAGAACAAGUGCUAGUUGAAUAAGCUGGCACCUUGACGGUACCUAACCAGAAAGCCACGGCUAACUACGUGCCAGCAGCCGCGGUAAUACGUAGGUGGCAAGCGUUAUCCGGAAUUAUUGGGCGUAAAGCGCGCGCAGGUGGUUUCUUAAGUCUGAUGUGAAAGCCCACGGCUCAACCGUGGAGGGUCAUUGGAAACUGGGAGACUUGAGUGCAGAAGAGGAAAGUGGAAUUCCAUGUGUAGCGGUGAAAUGCGUAGAGAUAUGGAGGAACACCAGUGGCGAAGGCGACUUUCUGGUCUGUAACUGACACUGAGGCGCGAAAGCGUG
rnacentral:rRNA from 2 species